rnacentral:misc_RNA from 1 species
GUGAAUGUAUAGUUACAGAAGAAAGAAGAGGUAAAAAUAGCUGAAGCUAUAUCCUUUCGGGAGUUUCCAAGCUGGGUUAAAGGCAAGUCAUAUCAGAGGUUAAUUUUUGAGUCUGACUCCCUUUUGUUGGUGCAAGCUUUAAGGAGUCAGCAACAUAAUGUCUUAUUUUGGAUUCAUUGUUAUGGACUGUAAAUAUCUGUUGAAUGAGUUAAUUCAUUGCUCUUUUAUGUUUGUUAGAAGGUCAGUGAACUCUGUCGUGCAUGUUUUGGCACAGUUAGUUCUAGUUCUGAUCUUAAGGAGUGGAGGC